UGAGUGGCGAACGGGUGAGUAACACGUGAGUAACCUGCCCUCUUCUUUGGGAUAACGCCCGGAAACGGGUGCUAAUACUGGAUAUUCACUGAUCUUCGCAUGGGGGUUGGUGGAAAGGUUCUUUCUGGUGGGGGAUGGGCUCGCGGCCUAUCAGCUUGUUGGUGGGGUGAUGGCCUACCAAGGCUUUGACGGGUAGCCGGCCUGAGAGGGUGACCGGUCACAUUGGGACUGAGAUACGGCCCAG
rnacentral:rRNA from 1 species